CAGCAGCCGCGGUAAGACAGAGGGUGCAAACGUUGUUCGGAAUUACUGGGCGUAAAGCGUGUGUAGGCGGCUUCGCAAGUCGGAUGUGAAAGCCCCGGGCUCAACCCGGGAAGUGCACUCGAUACUGCGGAGCUAGAGUGUCGGAGAGGUUGGUGGAAUUCUCGGUGUAGAGGUGAAAUUCGUAGAUAUCGAGAGGAACACCGGUGGCGAAGGCGGCCAACUGGACGAACACUGACGCUGAGACACGAAAGCGUGGGGAGCAAACAGGAUUAGAUACCCGCGUAGUCCCUGUCUCUUAUAC
rnacentral:rRNA from 1 species